rnacentral:rRNA from 1 species
CCCUUAGAUGUCCGGGGCUGCACGCGCGCUACACUGAAGGAAUCAGCGUGCUAAAACCAUUGUCGAAAGGCAUUGGUAAACCCAUUAAAAUCCUACGUGAUUGGGAUCGGGAAUUGCAAUUAUUUCCCUUGAACGAGGAAUUCCCAGUAAGUGUGGGUCAUAAGCUCGCGUUGAUUACGUCCCUGCCCUUUGUACACACCGCCCGUCGCUGCCCGGGACUGAGCCGUUUCGAGAAAAGCGGGGACUGCUGCUGUCGGGGCUUUCGGGCCUUGGCUUCGGUGGAAACCGCUUUAACCGCAGUGGCUUGAACCGGGCAAAAGUCGUAACA